rnacentral:rRNA from 1 species
AAUGAACGUUGGCGGCAUGGAUUAGGCAUGCAAGUCGAGCGAGAAGAGUUUUGAGGCUUGCUUUAGAACUCGGAAAGCGGCGAAAGGGAGAGUAACGAGUAGUUAUCUACCCCAAGGCCCGGAAUAGCUGCGGGAAACUGCAGGUAAUGCCGGAUAAUAUCCCCGGAUCAAAGGUGUGAUUCCGCCUUGGGAGGAGACUGCUUUGUACUAGCUUGUUGGUAGGGUAAUGGCCUACCAAGGCUACGAUGCAUAGCGGGCGUGAGAGCGUGGCCCGUCUCACUGGGACUGAAACACUGCCCAGACACCUACGGGUGGCUGCAGUCGAGAAUCUUCGGCAAUGGGCGAAAGCCUGACCGAGCAAUGCCGCGUGCGGGAUGAAGGCCUUCGGGUUGUAAACCGCUGUCGUAGAGGAGAAAGGUCUGAUGAAGAAUCAGAUUUGAUCUAUUCUAGGAGGAAGUCGGGGCUAAGUUCGUGCCAGCCGCCGCGGUAAUAC